UAGAGAGUGGUGUAAGGGAAGCACCAAGAGUUUUGAUCUCUUGAGCAUGGGUUCGACUCCCUUCUCUCUAG
rnacentral:tRNA from 1 species